UUCCAGGACAGCCAGGGCUACACAGAGAAACCAUGUCUCAAAAAACCAAAAAAAAAAAAAAAAAAAGAAAAAAAAAGCAUUGAGUACUUGUUUUCCUGAGAGGCAUAGAAAAAAAAAUGGCUUAUCUGACCAAAGAGGUCGUUAAGUCACAAGCAAGCAGCUGGAGAUGGCUUUAGGCUCCUUGUGCACAUUCAGAUUGUUUUAUAGCAGCGUGGGAAAUUCAAGCAAUACUGUUACUAGUUUCCUCUUUCUCUCUCUCUCUCUCUCUCUCUCUCUUUCUUUCUUUCUUUCUUUGUUUUUUUCUUUUUUUUUCUUUCUUGUAAUUUCCCUUAAAGAUAAUGUUGGGCCUUCCUAGAAAUGUUCAUCUCAGCAGGCAGGACUACCCUAGUGUAGAAAGUUGAGCUCCUGGCUCUGGUAGAUCCUGUGAUAAGCAACCGUCCCUUCUGUUGGCUGUGGGAUGAAAUGAACACAGAAAAGAGCCCGUCAAAGUUGUCGCCAGGUGGUUUCGCUGGUUAGACAUUCAGUUAGCGGAGAAGUUCCGGCUUUGCCCCCUUCUCAUCUCUAAAGUAUAUCCAGUCUUUUAAUAAAUCCUUUUUUGCCUUCUGGUAUUAGGAAUUGAAAUGGAGGCCUGAUGUGUGCCAAGUGAUUUCUCUGAAUCCCUGAACUCUAUUCUCAACCCUCCAAAAUACUUUUGCGUGAGUGUGCGUGCAUAUGUGCGGGUACGGGAAGACACCAGAGGUUGGCAUCAGGUGAUUUCCUCAAGACGGCUCUCUGCCUCGUAAGGUGUUAGGCAAGGUCUCUUUCACUCGAGCCGAGAGUGUCUAGCUAGCCAGCUUGUUCUGGGGAUCCCCUGGGCCUGUAGCAGAUUGCUGGUGGGCCACCACAGCGGCCUGACAUUGGCAUGGCUGCUGGGGGCCAGAACUUCGAUCCUCAGGAUUGGGGGGCAAGUGCUUUGCCCAUUAAGCCAUCUCUCCAUCUUCCUCCACCUUAUUGUUUGACACGGGGUUUCUGGAUGAACCUGGAUCUCAUUAAUGUGCCUAAGCUAGCUACCCAAUAAGCUGCAAGGUCCUACCUCUCCUUAGUGGCCCCAGUGCUGGGGUUACAGAUACCGGCUUCAGUGCCCAGCUUUUGCGUUGUGCUAGGAUCCAAACUUGGGCCCUUAUGCUCCAUGACAGACACUGUCUACACUUUACCAGCUGGGCUAAAAAUUAUUCUUUAGUGUGUGCCAGAGGCCAGAGGCAAUGGGCUUGCUUCAGGAAGUUCAGACCCUUGUUGGGAAGUAGAUCUUAAGCAAAAGAACACAAGAAAAAAAAUAUACUGUGAUAAAUCGUGGAGAGGGAAAGAACAAGCUAUCAAAAUCAAAAGAUCGGCACUGGUGAGAUCUUAACUAGCCCAGCAGUUAAGAGCAUUGGCUGCUCUUUCAGAGGACCAGGGUUCAGUUCCUGGCUAACAAUUGUCAGUAACUACUGUUCCAAGGUUUCCAGCACCCUCUUCUGGCCCCUUCUGACACUUAUGCACAUGGUGAGCAGAUAUAUGUGCAAUGGAAACACAUACACACACACACACACACACAAACAUACACAAAGUCAAAAUAAAAAAUAUAUCUGAGAAAAAUGAUUUAUAAAAGAAAAAUGACCAGGGUCUGGAGAGAUGGUUCAGCAGUUAAGAGCGUUGUAUGUAUGUGAGUCCGAGCCCUGGGUUCGACUCCCAGUGCUCACAUGGCAGCUCACAGCUGUCUGUAACUCCAGUGCCAGGGGAUUUGUUGCUUUCUGUCCUCUGGGGCUACUGGAUGGACAUAGUGCACUUACGUCCGUGCAGACAAAACACCCGUAUGCAAAAAAUAAAUAAAUCUAAAUUAAAAGGAAAUUAUAUUUUAAAAAAUGACCAGUAAGGAUGUGAAGAAGGCGAUUGAUUGGAAAGGAGGGCAUGAUGGGAAAGUGGUCCCAGCUCACUUAGGAGUUUGAGGCAGGAAGACCACUUGAGCCUGAGAAUUCAAGGCUAGCCGAGGCUGUACACCAAGAGCCUAUUUCAUAAAGUAGUGAGUGAUAGGUAGGCCUUUGUUUUAUGCUUAUGGUGUUGGGGAUUAAACCCAGGGGGUAUGCAAAAGAAUAAAGAGGAAUGGGGUGGGGGGUGGUGCUGUGCAAAGGCCCUGAGGUACAAGUAGUGUAAGGCC
rnacentral:lncRNA from 1 species